ACGGGGUGCAGCAGGCGCGAAACCUUUGCAAUGUGCGCAAGCACGACAAGGUUAAUCCGAGUGUUUCCUGCUAAAGGAAUCUUUUGUUAGUCGUAAAACCACUGAUGAAUAAGGGGUGGGCAAGUUCUGGUGUCAGCCGCCGCGGUAAAACCAGUACCUCAAGUGGUCAGGAGGAUUAUUGGGCCUAAAGCAUCCGUAGCCGGCUCUGCAAGUUUUCGGUUAAAUCCAUUUGCUUAACAAAUGGGCUGCCGAAAAUACUACAUAGCUAGGGAGUGGGAGAGGUAGACGGUAUUCGGUAGGAAGGGGUAAAAUCCUUUGAUCUAUUGAGGACCACCUAUGGCGAAGGCAGUCUACCAGAACACGUUCGACGGUGAGGGAUGAAAGCUGGGGGAGCAAACCGGAUUAGAUACCCGGGUAGUCCCAGCUGUAAACGAUGCAGACUCGGUGAUGCGCUGGCUUGUGGCCAGUGCAGUGCCGCAGGGAAGCCGUUAAGUUUGCCGCCUGGGAAGUACGUACGCAAGUAUGAAACUUAAAGGAAUUGGCGGGGGUGCAC
rnacentral:rRNA from 2 species